rnacentral:rRNA from 1 species
CACGUAGGGGGCAAGCGUUGUCCGGAUUUAUUGGGCGUAAAGAGCUCGUAGGCGGUUCGGUAAGUCGGGUGUGAAACCUCCAGGCUCAACCUGGAGACGCCACCCGAUACUGCUGUGACUCGAGUCCGGUAGGGGAGCGUGGAAUUCCUGGUGUAGCGGUGAAAUGCGCAGAUAUCAGGAGGAACACCGGUGGCGAAGGCGGGUCUCUGGGCCGUAACUGACGCUGAGGAGCGAAAGCAUGGGGAGCGAACAGG